rnacentral:rRNA from 1 species
UACGUAGGGGGCGGGCGUUGUCCGGAUUUAUUGGGCGUAAAGCGCGUGUAGGCGGCCGUUUACGUCGGCCGUGAAAUCUCCAGGCUUAACCUGGAGGGGUCGGGCGAGACUGGAUUGCUCGAGGUGGGCAGAGGGCGGUGGAAUUCCGGGUGUAGUGGUGGAAUGCGUAGAGAUCCGGAGGAACACCAGUGGCGAAGGCAGCACUCUGGGACGUGACUGACGCUGAGACGCGAAAGCGUGGGGAGCAAACAGG